rnacentral:rRNA from 1 species
AGCAGCCGCGGUAAUUCCAGCUCCAAUAGCGUAUAUUAAAGUUGUUGCAGUUAAAAAGCUCGUAGUUGAAUUUCGGGGUUAGCAGGUCGGUCGUGCCAUCGGUAUGAACUGGUCUCGCUGAUCCCUCCCUCUUGACGAACUGUGAUGCCAUUAAUUUGGUGUCGCAGGGAAUCAGGACUGUUACUUUGAAAAAUUAGAGUGUUUAAAGCAGGCUCACGCUUGAAUACAUUAGCAUGGAAUAAUGAAAUAGGACGUUUGAUCCUAUUUUGUUGGCUUCUAGGAUUGACGUAAUGAUUAAUAGGGAUAGUUGGGGGCAUUAGUAUUCAAUUGUCAGAGGUGAAAUUCUUGGAUUUAUUGAAGACUAACUACUGCGAAAGCAUUUGCCAAGGAUGUUUUCAUUAAUCAAGAACGAAAGUUAGGGGAUCGAAGACGAUCAGAUACCGUCGUAGUCUUAACCAUAAACUAUGCCGACUA